rnacentral:rRNA from 1 species
UACGAAGGGGGCUAGCGUUGCUCGGAAUCACUGGGCGUAAAGCGCACGUAGGCGGAUUGUUAAGUCAGGGGUGAAAUCCUGGAACUCAACUCCAGAACUGCCUUUGAUACUGGCGAUCUCGAGUCCGGGAGAGGUGAGUGGAACUGCGAGUGUAGAGGUGAAAUUCGUAGAUAUUCGCAAGAACACCAGUGGCGAAGGCGGCUCACUGGCCCGGUACUGACGCUGAGGUGCGAAAGCGUGGGGAGCAAACAGG